CAAUAGCGUAUAUUAAAGUUGUUGCAGGUAAAAAGCUCGUAGUUGGAUUUCUGGUUGAAGCGACCGGUCGGGCGUUGAUUCGUCUGCACUGGAGUCGGUUUUGGCCAUCCUCUAGGAAAGUGCGUCUGGUAUUAAGUUAUCGGGCGUAUGAUCCUGGUCUUUUACUGUGAAAAAAUUAGAGUGUUUAAAGCAGGCCUUCGCCUUGAAUACAUUAGCAUGGAAUAAUAAGAUAGGACUUUGGUCUAUUUUGUUGGUUUGCAGACCGAAGUAAUGAUUAAUAGGGAUAGUUGGGGGUAUUUAUAUUCCGAUGUCAGAGGUGAAAUUCUUAGAUUUUCGGAAGAUAAACUUAUGCGAAAGCAUUUACCAAGGAUGUUUUCAUUAA
rnacentral:rRNA from 1 species